rnacentral:rRNA from 1 species
GACGAACGCUGGCGGCGUGCUUAACACAUGCAAGUCGAACGAAGUGGCGAACGGGUGAGUAACGCGUAAUCAACCUGCCCUUAAGAGGGGGACAACAGUUGGAAACGACUCCUAAUACCGCAUACUGAAGGAGGGGAUUGCGUCUGAUUAGCUAGUUGGAGGGGUACCGGCCCACCAAGGCGAUGAUCAGGAGCCGGGCUGAGAGGAGGAACGGGCAGAAUGGGACUGAGACACGGCCCAGACUCCUACGGGAGGCAGCAGUGGGGAAUCUUCCGCAGUGGACGAAAGUCAUACGGAGCAACGCCGGGUGAGUGAUGACGGCCUUCGGGUUGUAAAGCUCUGUUAAUCGGGACGCGGUACCGGAAUAGAAAGCCACGGCUAACUACGUGCCAGCAGCCGCGGUAAUAC